ACAGAGGGUGCGAGCGUUGUCCGGAAUCACUGGGCGUAAAGGGCGCGUAGGCGGCCUGGUAAGCGUGCGGUGAAAGCCCUGGGCUCAACCUGGGAAUGGCACUGGAUACUGGCAAGCUAGAGUGUGGCAGAGGGUAGUGGAAUUCCUGGUGUAGCAGUGAAAUGCGUAGAGAUCAGGAGGAACAUCCGUGGCGAAGGCGACUGCCUGGGCCAACACUGACACUGAGGCACGAAAGCGUGGGGAGCAAACAGGA
rnacentral:rRNA from 1 species